UAAGUAGGCGGAGGAAAUGACACAAACAUGGAUUCACUGAGUAACUGCGAGUGACAUGUGAUUUGCUCACAGCUGAUAUUCUUUGCUGUCUGCUUUGACAUGAGGACUUUGAGUGCGGUGCCAAUGGUGGUGUAAGUGUGAGCCAUCUUGGAAAAGAGGAGAGUGUGCACUGACAAGGGUGAGAAGCCUGUGUGUGCUUGCAAAAUCUCCAUAUGGGGGUCACGCUUUGAGAAUCAUGCUCUUAAAGUGGGUGGUAGACUCUUCUCAAAGCUGAGUACAGAACUGGGACCGACAGGGAAGAAGUACCAUGAGGGAAGUGUGAAAAGGACUUUGGAAAGAGACUUAAAAGAGCCUGUACUUGCUGAAGGAUAUGCAUACAGCAUGCUUGCAUGUGAGAUGAUUGCUGUGUGUAUGAGUCUGACUUUGGCUGGAUGGCCAUGGCCGUGUGCCAUGGACACUUGGCCACCCAAUGUGUAUCCUCUUGUGUGUGCCAGCAUGUGGGAGACAGUCAGUGUUUGAGUGCAGUGGUUGCUGUGUCUGGGGAUACAUCAGAUGUGCACUCAAGGAUCUGAGCAUGUUGAGAAGCAGGUGCAGAAGGGCCCUCCUGUCUGUAUGACCCGUCUUGAAACACGGACCAAGGAGUCUAGCAUGAGUGCAAGCAUAUGGGACCGAAGGCUCUGUGUGCAAUGAAGGUGGAGUCCCAGAUUUGUGCAUGAGUGUUCAAACAAGCAGGAGGACAAGGUUUGAGUCUGAGCAUUCCUGACAGGACCCGAAAGAUGGUGAACUAUGCCCGGAAAGGGCCAAGUCAGGGGAAACUCUGGUGGAGGCUCGUAGCGUUACUGACGUGCAAAUCGUUCGUCACACCUGGGUAUGGGGGCGAAAGACUAAUCGAACCAUCUAGUAGCUGGUUCCCUCUGAAGUUUCCCUCAGGAUAGCUGAACUUGCAGGACUUUCACCAGGUAAAGCGAAUGAUUGGAGGAAUUGGGGGUUGCAGACCUUUGACCUAUUCUCAAACUUUUAAUGGGUGUGUUGUGUGGUUGCUUAGCUGAACCAACAGCUAAUGAUGACUCUUAGUGGGCCACUUUUGGUAAGCAGAACUGGCGAUGAGGGGUGAACCUGAUGAUGGGUUAAGGCACUGAAGUUCUUGCUCAUCAGAAACUGUAAAGGGUGUUGGCUCAUUCUGACAGCAGGUCGGUGGUCAUGGAAGUUGAAAUCCGCUUGGGAGUGU
rnacentral:rRNA from 1 species